rnacentral:rRNA from 1 species
UACGUAGGUGACCAGCGUUGUCCGGAUUUACUGGGCGUAAAGCGCGUGUAGGCGGUUCGAUUAGUCUGCUGUGAAAGCUCCCCGCUUAACGAGGAGAGGUCGGUGGAUACUGUCGGACUUGAGGACGGUAGAGGGGGGUGGAAUUCCCGGUGUAGUGGUGAAAUGCGUAGAUAUCAGGAGGAACACCAAUGGCGAAGGCAGAUCUCUGGGCCGUAACUGACGCUGAGGAGCGAAAGCAUGGGGAGCGAACAGG